GAAAUGCGAUAAGUAAUGUGAAUUGCAGAAUUCAAUGAAUCAUCGAAUCUUUGAACGCACAUUGCGCCCCCUGGUAUUCCGGGGGGCAUGCCUGUUCGAGCGUCAUUUCACCACUCAAGCCUCGCUUGGUAUUGGGCGACGCGGUCCGCCGCGCGCCUCAAAUCGACCGGCUGGGUCUUCCGUCCCCUCAGCGUUGUGGAAACUAUUCGCUAAAGGGUGCCGCGGGAGGUCACGCCGCAAAACAACCCCAUUUCUAAGGUUGACCUCGGAUCAGGUAGGGAUACCCGCUGAACUUAAGC
rnacentral:misc_RNA from 1 species